CAUUACCACCUCCUGGUCGUCCACAGAGGCCUUCCUCCCACCACACUCCUCCUCCUCCUCCUCCUCCUCCUCUUCCCGGGGCCGGUCGGAGCCCGACCCCCCCAGGCCGAAGCCCAGGGCGCCGCCCCUGGAGUCCUCCUCCCCCGGGACAGUCCCCUCGCUGGCUGCAUGCUGAACACAUCACACCACACCCCUCUCUUCAUCCUCAUCAUCCUUCUCAUCUUCCUCCUCCUAACCUGGAGUGUACCGGACCACCAACCGCCGCAUCAUUCAUCUGUCGUUGUAUUCUGUUCAUCAUAGUGCUACUGAAUCCCCAGUGGACCACACGACAAACUUACACCCUAGCCAUUCCUCCACCCAUCUAUCCAUCUAGCAUCUAACUCCCCUUAUCCAUCAUCCAACCAUCUGUCCCUCUACAAUUCAUCCAUCUAUCAUCACUCUUAUCCAACCAUCUACCACUCUGUUUAUCCAUCCAUCCCUCCACCCAUCCAGCCAUCGAUAUACUGGUGAGAUGAUGAUAGAGUAGAUGAGUCUUACCUUCAGGACAGCUGUUGACAAAGAAAAGAGAAUGUGUUAAACAUACACGUAGGUACAAAGACAUAUAUACUGCUGCUUUUCUGCUAAAUGUUGGUCUAAGGUUGGACCAGUAGGUGGUCUAGGAUUUAAGGUUAGACCAGUAGGUCAUCUAGGAUCUAGGGUUAGACCAGGAGGUGGUUUAAGGUCUAGAGUUUGACCAGGACCUAGUAAGUUAAAGGUUUAAUCAAGUGUAAACUCACCUUUGGUGCCCUCAAAGAAUUUUUUAAUUGGUUCUGAAGAAAGAAAUAAACAGAAUCCAUGAGGUUAUACUACAUUCACUCCCAUUAUAACUUAUCUCUGGAGGAGUCCCACCAAAACCUUUUGUUAUAUACAAAGUUAUAUAAACCCACAUUAUACAUAACCUUGAUAACAUGAUUGAAUAGAAACAGUACACUGUCAGUACACAGUUGAGAUGAUACAAUGAGGUGUGUAGUGAUAUUGUAGAGGGGUAUUGAUAUUUAUAGUAUAUGUCUAUAUAUGGAAAUAUUUAAAUAGCAGUGAUCUCAUUGGGUGGAGAAGCUUGUCCAUCAAACCCACCUGACUGGCGUCGCCCCUGACGAUUAGUAGGCAGCGGAUCGUCUGUUUGGACGGACAGAGCCUUCUUCAGCCGGUCGGGGCUGUAGCGGUACUUAGACGGAUCUGUCGUGAAGGGUUUUAUUUAUCAAACGUACAAUGACAUUCUGAGGACAUGGUUAGGGUCGACUACAUGGCACGCUAUUUAUCCCACUAUUACUGACAUGAUCAAUCCCAAACACAAUCCAUUCAUUUUAUAUCAAAUGUGAGACUAGGAAUAGUUAUGAAAAAAACCACUCACAUAUUGAGUCCAUUUCCAAGAUGGCUUCCUUUGCCUGAAAUAAACACAAGAGGAGUCACCUUCCACACAGCUUCAAACUGGAGUGGAAGUACUGUGUUUGUGUACCGGGGAUAGUGUGUUGAAUUUGAUGUGUUGUGGUACAGGCUAGUUUGGCGUGGAGGAGUAAGGUGUGGCAGAGUUAAUGUGUUACGGAGGCUAAUGGUGGUUGACCUUCUGAGGGAUGAUGGCAUGGUGGUUCUCCAGGAUGAUCCGUUUGAUGUGGUGGGACCACAGCUUCUUCUCUUCCAGGUUACGAGCCUUGAAGUAGCAAGAACACGCAGAGGUCAGAGCAGACCUGGGAUCUAGGACAGCUACUAACUAUUAAUCCUUCAUCCAAAGUGAAUGACAGUGAAUUCAGAUACAUAUAAUUAAGAAGCAGGUUAGAGGGCAUCUUGCUUUAGGAUGACUCAUGGUAGACUAAUGCGGACAUUGGUGAUCGAACCCAGCUUGGAGUUUCUGCUUGGACUAGACUAGCACUAGACUAACCACUAAUACUAUGUUUAUCGAUCACUUGCUGUCAAAGUUAGAAAAAGUUAGAAAAUAAGAUAUGAAUGCACCAUAUUCAUCCCAAACAGGAAAGACAGACAGACAGCCAGACAGUUCAUUUACCAUCUGGGAUGAAUGCAAACGUCUCAUCUGUAUGAAUGAGUACUUCCUGAUAUUGUGGGGUGUUCUCACCUGCACAGUGUGGGACUGUUUGGGGUGUUUGUAGUGCGUGACACUGAAGCUCAGAGAGUCCUUGGCGCUCUCGAUCAGCAUCAGAGUGGAGCACUGGAACGGACAGUCAACACCGUGAGUGGGAGUAGAAGCAGACGCGAGUCCAGUACUGACGGCGCUGAUCAGUAAGACCUCCUGUUGUUACUCGGAGUUCAGGAUCUUAGGUUAUUAGGUGCAGAAAUACAAGAUCCAAAUAUACGAUAAAAAGGAUAUGUAUAUGUUGAGGAUAUACAAUAAAAUAAAGAUGGAUAAAUAUAUAUACAUUUAUUCUACUUCAUUUAAGAAUGCUCGAUUCUGAUUGGCUGGGAGGGGUGCAUUAAUCCGGCAUAUUGCCCGCUGACUUGUCGGUUCUACUUGCUGCUGACUGAGCACAGUAGAUCAAUACGCCGCUUGUAUCGUUUUCUAUCACAUACAUUUCCAACAUGAGGUCCAUAGUAAAAAUAAACCAAGGAGUGCAUGUUU